GGGACACGUGGUAUCCUGUCUGAAUAUGGGGGGACCAUCCUCCAAGGCUAAAUACUCCUGACUGACCGAUAGUGAACCAGUACCGUGAGGGAAAGGCGAAAAGAACCCCGGCGAGGGGAGUGAAAAAGAACCUGAAACCGUGUACGUACAAGCAGUGGGAGCACCUUCGGGUGUGACUGCGUACCUUUUGUAUAAUGGGUCAGCGACUUAUAUUCUGUAGCAAGGUUAACCGUAUAGGGGAGCCGCAGGGAAACCGAGUCUUAACUGGGCGUUAAGUUGCAGGGUAUAGACCCGAAACCCGGUGAUCUAGCCAUGGGCAGGUUGAAGGUUGGGUA
rnacentral:rRNA from 1 species